GCCUGCCUCAUAGUAAAAUAACUGUUAGAAAACGGUAUGUGUUAGGUUACUACUGCUGAUUUUUCAAUUGUAUAAUUUUUGCGUUUUCUAGAGUUACAUCCUACUUUAUUUUAUUUUAUCCAAACUAAUUAUAGUUGCGUAUGCAAAAAAAUAAAUUCAUUGCUGGUUAAGAUUUAAUGAUUCCUCAUUAAUGGAAGAAAUUU